rnacentral:rRNA from 1 species
GAACGCUGCGGCAUGCCUUACACAUGCAAGUCGAACGGCAGCACGGAGCAAUCCUGGUGGCGAGUGGCGAACGGGUGAGUAAUAUAUCGGAACGUGCCCAGUCGUGGGGGAUAACGUAGCGAAAGCUACGCUAAUACCGCAUACGAUCUAUGGAUGAAAGCGGGGAUCGCAAGACCUCGCGCGAUUGGAGCGGCCGAUAUCAGAUUAGGUAGUUGGUGAGGUAAAGGCUCACCAAGCCGACGAUCUGUAGCUGGUCUGAGAGGACGACCAGCCACACUGGGACUGAGACACGGCCCAGACUCCUACGGGAGGCAGCAGUGGGAAUUUUGGACAAUGGGCGCAAGCCUGAUCCAGCAAUGCCGCGUGCAGGAUGAAGGCCUUCGGGUUGUAAACUGCUUUGUACGGAACGAAACGGUGAGCUCUAAUACAGUUUGCUAAUGACGGUACCGUAAGAAUAAGCACCGGCUAACUACGUG